AAAUUGAAGAGUUUGAUCAUGGCUCAGAUUGAACGCUGGCGGCAGGCCUAACACAUGCAAGUCGAACGGUAACAGGAAGCAGCUUGCUGCUUUGCUGACGAGUGGCGGACGGGUGAGUAAUGUCUGGGAAACUGCCUGAUGGAGGGGGAUAACUACUGGAAACGGUGGCUAAUACCGCAUAACGUCGCAAGACCAAAGAGGGGGACCUUCGGGCCUCUUGCCAUCAGAUGUGCCCAGAUGGGAUUAGCUUGUUGGUGAGGUAACGGCUCACCAAGGCGACGAUCCCUAGCUGGUCUGAGAGGAUGACCAGCCACACUGGAACUGAGACACGGUCCAGACUCCUACGGGAGGCAGCAGUGGGGAAUAUUGCACAAUGGGCGCAAGCCUGAUGCAGCCAUGCCGCGUGUAUGAAGAAGG
rnacentral:rRNA from 3 species